rnacentral:lncRNA from 1 species
UUUAUUUUCUUUGCAGGUCUUGACCAUUGAUGGUGGGAUGGUUAUGUAGAAGUGUAGAAACUCCGUAUUUUGUUUGCUCACAGAGAAGAAUUGGAAGGGUGAUUAUUUAGGUUCCACCCGGGCUGUAGCCUCAUUCUAUGCCUGAGGAAAAGGAACUUAUUAAUUUAGUGGUAGGAGAUGGCCGGACGUACUGUUUUCUGCAUUUUCUCCUCUUCUUUACCAUUUUGCUGGCUGAGUAAGCUUUUUUUGGAAAUCUUUGAAACAGGGUUUUAUUUUUUGUUUUCGUUUCUAUAUCAAAGUUUUAAAACCUAAAAUGUUGUAAUUGCUUGAAUGUUGAUGCAUGUUUUGGCAAUAUUGGUGUACUUCCUUU